rnacentral:rRNA from 1 species
ACGCUCGACACCUACGGGAGGGCAGCAGUGGGGAAUAUUGCACAAUGGGGGAAACCCUGAUGCAGCGACGCCGCGUGAGCGAAGAAGUAUUUCGGUAUGUAAAGCUCUAUCAGCAGGGAAGAAGAAAGACGGUACCUGACUAAGAAGCCCCGGCUAACUACGUGCCAGCAGCCGCGGUAAUCUGAGCGGGCUGGCAAGGC